GAUGAACGCUGGCGGCGUGCCUAAUACAUGCAAGUCGAGCGAACGGACGAGAAGCUUGCUUCUCUGAUGUUAGCGGCGGACGGGUGAGUAACACGUGGAUAACCUACCUAUAAGACUGGGAUAACUUCGGGAAACCGGAGCUAAUACCGGAUAAUAUUUUGAACCGCAUGGUUCAAAAGUGAAAGACGGUCUUGCUGUCACUUAUAGAUGGAUCCGCGCUGCAUUAGCUAGUUGGUAAGGUAACGGCUUACCAAGGCAACGAUGCAUAGCCGACCUGAGAGGGUGAUGGGCCACACUGGAACUGAGACACGGUCCAGACUCCUAAGGGAGGCAGCAGUAGGGAAUCUUCCGCAAUGGGCGAAAGCCUGACGGAGAAACGCCGCGUGAGUGAUGAAGGUCUUCGGAUCGUAAAACUCUGUUAUUAGGGAAGAACAUAUGUGUAAGUAACUGUGCACAUCUUGACGGUACCUAAUCAGAAAGCCACGGCUAACUACGUG
rnacentral:rRNA from 1 species